rnacentral:rRNA from 1 species
UACGAAGGGGGCUAGCGUUGCUCGGAAUCACUGGGCGUAAAGGGCGCGUAGGCGGUUGAUUAAGUCGAAUGUGAAAGCCCCCGGCUCAACUGGGGAGGGUCAUUCGAUACUGAUCAACUUGAAGGCAGGAGAGGGAAGUGGAAUUCCGGGUGUAGUGGUGAAAUGCGUAGAUAUCCGGAGGAACACCAGUGGCGAAGGCGACUUCCUGGCCUGUUCUUGACGCUGAGGCGCGAAAGCUGGGGGAGCAAACGGG